GACGUAGGCGGCUUCUCAAGUCGAGUGUAAAAUCUCCCGGCUUAACCGGGAGGGAUCAUUCGAUACUGUUGGGCUAGAGGGCAGCAGAGGGAGACGGAAUUCCCGGUGUAGUGGUGAAAUGCGUAGAUAUCGGGAGGAACACCAGUGGCGAAGGCGGUCUCCUAGGCUGUUGCUGACGCUGAGGUCCGAAAGCGUGGGGAGCGAACAGGAUUAGAUACCCUGGUAGUCC
rnacentral:rRNA from 1 species